AUGUAUGUAGCUCAGUGGUAGAGCACUUGCUUAGCAUGCAAGAAGCCCUGUGUUUGAUUACCCAGCUUACUA
rnacentral:tRNA from 1 species